GGAAUGGUAACUCAAUCGGUCAGAGUUCCCGGCUCAUAACCGGGAUGUUGCGAGUUCGAGUCUCGCCCAUUCCACUA
rnacentral:tRNA from 1 species